UACGGAGGGUGCGAGCGUUGUCCGGAAUUACUGGGCGUAAAGCGCGUGUAGGCGGAUGGGCAAGUCUGCUGUGAAAGCUCCUGGCUUAACCGGGAGUGGUCGGUGGAAACUGCCAAUCUGGAGGACGGUAGAGGUAGGUAGAAUUCCCGGUGUAGUGGUGAAAUGCGUAGAGAUCGGGAGGAAUACCUGUGGCGAAGGCGGCCUACUGGGCCGGACCUGACGCUGAGACGCGAAGGCGUGGGGAGCGAACGGG
rnacentral:rRNA from 1 species